AAGCGGUGGAUGAUGUGGAUUAAUUCGAUGCAACGCGAAAACCUUACUACCCUUGACAUGUCCGGAAUCCCGAAGAGAUUUGGGAGUGCUCGCAAGAGAACCGGAACACAGGUGCUGCAUGGCUGUCGUCAGCUCGUGUCGUGAGAUGUUGGGUUAAGUCCCGCAACGAGCGCAACCCUUGUCAUUAGUUGCCAUCAUUUGGUUGGGCACUCUAAUGAGACUGCCGGUGACAAACCGGAGGAAGGUGGGGAUGACGUCAAGUCCUCAUGGCCCUUAUGGGUAGGGCUUCACACGUCAUACAAUGGUCGGUACAGAGGGUUGCCAACCCGCGAGGGGGAGCCAAUCCCACAAAGCCGGUCGUAGUCCGGAUCGCAGUCUGCAACUCGACUGCGUGAAGUCGGAAUCGCUAGUAAUCGCGGAUCAGCAUGUCGCGGUGAAUACGUUCCCGGGCCUU
rnacentral:rRNA from 1 species